rnacentral:lncRNA from 1 species
GUUAUAUGUUUGUCUUGUUAGCAGGACAAGACCAAAAGUCCUAGGUACAUAAAGAAGGUGUGUGGAAGUGAUUUAUGAAGGAAAUAUAUAUGUUUACUUGUUGGUUUCAAGUUUGUUAUAAAAGGUUUACGGGAAUAGAGGUUUCAUUCCUUCUGAUUUUAAUUCUACAAGACAUCUCUGUUAAUUGACUUACAAAAAGUUUUAAAUAGUCUUAUUUAUAAUUAUAAACCUAAAAUUAUAAAGAGAUUAUAAUUCCUUUGGGCUAAAUAUAUUUGAGUGCACCCUAGUUUUAGAAAUUGUCUUAUAUCUUUGUUUUUUGUCCAAUCGUACAGCUGUUUUGUUUAUAGAUAAAGGUUAUUAAGUUCAAGGCAUGCUCCCCUUGGUGAACAAAGGAGCAGCCGCAUGGAAAUAUUUUCCAGUCUUUGUUCACUAGGGGGACCUCAACAGUUUUCAUCUUACAACAGACUGACCCGAUAGUUUUCAUAGCCUUAUAAAAGACUUACAGGAAUAAAUAUUAUUUAAAUAUAUUAUUAUACUGUUUAUAUCAAUUGUCAUCAAAGGGAUAAAUUCUAAAUAUGUUAUUAUGGUGUGCUUACACUGGUCAUUUUCAAAGGACUAAAUAUCCUGUAAAAAACAACAAUAACAAGGUUUUAUUUUUUCUAGUGUACUAAAUGUAUUUGUACUUUCUGACUGUACAGGUUUUCUAAUAUUUGUUUAUGAUAAUAAGCUCUUUUUGGUUCAGGUAUUUGCCUUUCCAUACACUCUAGCUAUUUAUGAUAACAGAUACAUAUAUGGGCUAUUUUCUUUAGAUGGUAUCCUAUCAAAAGAUUAUUUAUUUAUUUGUUUUUUAAAGAUAAUAAUUUAGGUAAAAACUUUUGGUGUUUUUAAAAAAUGAGUACGUUUAACAAUGGCUAUUUUAUAUCAAGAUGGACAUUUAAAUGUGUUACAAAGGUAAAGUCAUCAUAAUUGUCAUGUUAAAAUAUUAUUUGUGGCUCUUUUUCUGUUAAUAUUCUACAGGAAUUCAACAACUAAAAAACAACCAUGACUGAUAACAGUAAGAGCUCUCUAUAUUUUAAAUUCCAAAAUGCUUGCUAUUCCGGUAAAACUAUAAUAGUUAAGUUCAUUAUUCUUGUUACGAUGCUAACGCUAUUGACCUUCUCUUCUGGAUGUUCAACAACUAAAGUUUGGAGACCAGAACUAAAAGGUAACUGGGCUAUGAGGACAGCCAAUAUUUUGGCCCUGGCCCCUCAAGGUCAACAAAGUUCCAGGACAUGAGGGAACCUUCUCUACAGGGUCCUACAUCUUUGGAACGAUUGAGGGCAUUCACCAGCCAGACAGUCACAGAGUUCAUCAUGGCAGGGUACCAGCCAGUACGGCAAAAGGAAGAGGUCCCCACUUGCCACCGGCCUCAUGAGAUCCAGGUCUAGCCCCGAUCUUCGCCCCUGGUCAGCAGGAAGCAGCUCCAGAAGAAGAGACCUUCGCCCAACUAUCAUACAACAAAAGCCUGGAAUGAUAGGUCUCCCACCACCUCAGCAGCUAUUAUGUACAGUAGCUGCCCUCUUCCUAUGGUGCCUCACCCCCUACCCUGUGUGAUGUCAUGCCAAGAUGGUUGCUCCCACCAAAGAAUAAACCCUUCUUCCCAGCAUGCCCCUGUUCCCACCUAGAAAGUAACCUAAUACUCACCUCCUACAACCUAGUGACAUCACUGGCUCCUCCAUUCCCUAGUCACUACCUCACUCAACCCCACCUCAGCCCCUACAAACCCCACCCCAGUCUCUAUAAAAGACUCUCCCUGCCCCGGCCAUAUUGCUUUUGUCUCUCCUUUGUUCAGAGACAGCCCGGCAGAUCUAUUCCCCUAAUAAAGGCUUGCUGUGGCCUGGUCUGGUCUUGGUCUUUGGCCCUUUUACCUGACACCAUCUUAAUUGUAUAUAAAUCUAAAACUCGUAAUAUAUACAAGCUGUACUAUGAGUUGUUGUUUUUUUGGUUUUUCUUUCUUUUGGUACCGGGGAUUGAACUCAGGACCUUGUGCUGGUGAGGCAGGCAUGGUGCCACUGAGCUAAAUCCCCGGCCCUUCAAGCUCUGUUAUGUACACGUAGCCACUCCUCAAAUGAUUGUGAACUGCACAAUAAAAAUAAACAACAAUGUAAACUGCAGGCCUAAUUUCUAACACUGAAUCUCCCACCCUCAGCCAUGAUAGAACCCUAAAUGUAUUCCUAAACCUCAACCAAAUCCCAACAAAAACCACAACCCAAACUGCACCUUGCCCCUUCGUCCUAAGCCACUUCCUCACCCUAACUGUAGCGAAACUUUGAGGAUGCGACCUCACUUCCUUGGUAUUAGAACCCAACGAAGCUG